rnacentral:misc_RNA from 1 species
AACGCACAUUGCGCCCUCUGGUAUUCCGGAGGGCAUGCCUGUUCGAGCGUCAUGUUGUGGACAAUCAAGCACCUUGCUUGGCCUUGGGAGCCCGCCCCUCGCGGGGCGCCCCCUAAAUCGGUCGGCGGUGGCGACGAGCCUCGAGCGUAGUGAAUUCUUCCGCUCUCAGGGGUCUCGGCGUCGCCCGCUUCCAGAAGCCCAAACAUAUUAUACCAUUGACCUCGGAUCAGGUAGGGAUACCCGCUGAACUUAA